UGGGGAAUUUUGGACAAUGGACGCAAGUCUGAUCCAGCCAUGCCGCGUGCGGGAAGAAGGCCUUCGGGUUGUAAACCGCUUUUGUCAGGGAAGAAACGAGUUUCUCUAAUACAGAGACUUAAUGACGGUACCUGAGGAAUAAGCACCGGCUAACUACGUGCCAGCAGCCGCGGUAAUACGUAGGGUGCAAGCGUUAAUCGGAAUUACUGGGCGUAAAGCGUGCGCAGGCGGUUAUGCAAGACAGAUGUGAAAUCCCCGGGCUCAACCUGGGAACUGCAUUUGUGACUGUAUAGCUAGAGUACGGCAGAGGGGGAUGGAAUUCCGCGUGUAGCAGUGAAAUGCGUAGAUAUGCGGAGGAACACCGAUGGCGAAGGCAAUCCCCUGGGCCUGUACUGACGCUCAUGCACGAAAGCGUGGGGAGCAAACA
rnacentral:rRNA from 1 species